rnacentral:rRNA from 2 species
GACGGAGGAGGCUAGCGUUGUUCGGAAUUACUGGGCGUAAAGCGCGCGCAGGCGGCUUAGCAAGUCAGGGGUGAAAGCCCGGGGCUCAACCUCGGAACUGCCUUUGAGACUGCUAGGCUCGAGACCGAGAGAGGAGAGUGGAAUUCCCAGUGUAGAGGUGAAAUUCGUAGAUAUUGGGAAGAACACCAGUGGCGAAGGCGGCUCUCUGGCUCGGUACUGACGCUGAGGCGCGAAAGCGUGGGGAGCAAACAGG